CUCAGUGAAUAAUACCUUAUCUGGCAAUUGACCCACUCUACCCUUUUCUCUCUCCUUCUAUCCAUCUGUUAGUAUUCUCAGACAUUCACCCUCAGGUUGAAUUUGAGUCCCAUGCUUCUCCCUAGUCUUUUCCCUUCCUCCCUCUCCUCUCUUCCUUCCUCCCUCUCUUCCCUUCCUCCUCCCUCUGGCUGGCUGCCACUCCUCCCAGCGGAUCUGUGCCUGUGGUAGUGGUGUAUGUUGUCGGUUGAGGCCGGCCCCCUCUCUCUCCUCAGAUGGAGGAGUGAAGCUCACUGACACACAUACAGACGCAACAAGCCACAGGCAGGCACGCUACCAGACAGACCGGCAGACAGGUAAGCAGGAGGCAGGCACCAUGACGCAAACAGGGGACAGACUCAGCUCUGUGACAACAGAUGCCUCCCACAGAACUGAACACUGAAGUUUACUUUGAGAGCCUCAGUGGAGCUGGAAUAAGCAGAAAAUAAGACAAAUAACAAGACGGGAUGAGGAGUUCUUGACUGCUGUUUUUCAUGCUGAGGAGGAGGGGGUAUUUUACACACUUUUUCUGUAGUCGCUGAACCUGUGGAAUUACAUCUAUGAGUCAGGGGAGGACUAAAGCCAGCAUGGUAUUCAGCUGGCAGAAGUCCUUUGCCAUCCUGAACCCCUGGAGGAAAGGGAAGGGGGACAAUGUGCUGGAUAAUGAGGUCGUCUUGACCAAAAUGAAGCUCUUCAACAACUUCCAUGAGAAGCUCCUCAACAACGCUGUUGAUUCUUCAUCCACUAUCUCCAUGUCAGUAUCUGAGCAGGACAUCGCAGAGCCUGUCAAAGGCUUGAAGGGGAAUGCUGAUCUGGAUAACAUGCCUGGGAAGCCCCUGAUGGAGUCAAACUCAGGCUACCUCUCUGACAUUUUCUCAGACUCUCAGCUUCCCAUGCUGUACAAGUUUGAGUCGGAGGACUCUGGAGUGGAACUGCCCAGUGGAACCAACUCUCCCUCCACACCCACCGGCUCAGAGCAGAGCUUUGUGGUCCACAGCCGGGAACCGUCCUAUGACUCCUGUAACCUCAAUACUCCUGUCCCUACCCCAGGUCCACUCCUCACCAUUGAACAGUGCUCUGACACCAAACAAACAGAGGAUAUAAGAGACACACCAUGUACGACUGUAGACAAUGCUGUGCUGGAGUGUAAUACUGUGGAGUUGGGGGCUGAACUCAACACAGAGGUUGAGAGGGUAGACCUUCAUAUAACUGAGAAGGACAUAAAUAUGGAGAGGGCCCAACACAGGGCCUUGAAGGACACUGCUGAGGACAGUGACAGGGUUUCAGAGGAGCUGGGUGAGAACAGGGCUGUGACUGACGGGAUCAACUCAGAGAAGACAAGGUCCAAGAGCCAGUGCUCUACAGGGGCCUGUGAUGAUAUGACAGGAGUUAACUUUGAGCAGCGGCCUCUGAGGAAAAGCACGACGAGCGACAGCCUAGAGGAGUAUAUGGAGGAAUGCUGUAGACUGAGUGAGGUCCACCAGGCCAGCUCCAACCCCCUGGGCUCCGGACUGGGCUACCUGGAGCACAUCUGCCAGCUCAUUGAGAAGAUUGGGCAGCUCCAGGAACACAACCUCAGGCUGCAGAAGCAAAUCUGUGGGCUGCAAAAGGAUGGAAGGAUGACCAAGACCAAAGAGGACUUCUUCCUGCAGCACUGUAGCUGUGGAACGGCCGGCAUGGCCUUCCAUGAACAGAAAAGACACUCUAGGAGUGAGUUCCUGACCACCUCCGUGAGCGGCACCCUCUCUGACCUCUCCACCAUCCCUGAGGUCACACACCACACAGGACUCACAGCCAGGGGAGAGAGUGACCAGGGUGGAUGCCAGCCCCUGGUGCCCCUUUGGAAGAGGGGCCUGAAUCGGAUGAGCUACUCAGAGGGAGAUACGCGCUCCUAUCUCUCUGACAGUACAGAGGGUCUCUCUGCCCCACACAGACGGCUGAGUGAGAACUACACGUGGGGCAGAGUGAAGGAUCUGGUGAAGAAGACCAAGCUGAGGAACCAGAGCAGACUGGGACAAACAUCCACCUCCCUCAAGAGAUCCUGUCCACAGCUUUACCGCCCUGACCUGGGACCAGUGGACCUACCAGGAAGAAACAGGAACUCCAUGAUCGCCUUGGGCCAUCAGAACAAACUGGACUUCCAGUGGCCCAGAUAACCAUUGUUGAUAUGAAACAGACGGCCCGAAGUGGGAAGAGAAUGCCCUGAAGAGGAUAAGGUGAAGUUGCACAGAUUCUCGACUGGACUGAGAGAGUAGUGUGAAAGGAGGGAUGUGAGAAAUAACACUUGUGAUGGAUGACAAAACUUUGAGUGAGGAGUGAAAAGAAAACAAAAAGAGGGAUGGUCAUAGACAUCUCUCUUGAGAUACAAUUCUAAACUAAGGGAUUGUAUUGUUUCAGAUAAGGGAACAUUGGUAUUUAUAUGAGAACAGACAUGCAUGUACUCCACAAUGUACAUGAAUACGAUACAAAUGAUUUCAUCUUGUACUAUAAUCGUUUUUCUUUUCAAUUCAUAUUGUAAUGCUUUCUCUAAAUAUGUGUUAUGUUAGUGACAUUUCAGUACUAUGUGUUGAUGGAGGAAACAACAACUCUUUGACAUGGUUGUUCCAACUAAGAAAUAGCCUAGACAAUAUUCUGGGGUGAAAUUAAAGGGGUAGUUCACGCAAAUUACAAAAUGACAUUGCUUUCCUUACACUGUAAGCCGUCUAUGGACAAGCUAUGGCAGCAAUGCAUCCUUUGGUUUAGUUUCCCUGCCACUGUUUCAACAUGCUAGCAUUUUAGCAUUUGUGGCACAAAUCCCAUUCAAGUCAUGGGACCGAUAUUAUUCGCGCACCAUGCCCAAAUCAAUACAUGAUUUAAAUUCUAGAUAAGAGCGUCUUCUAAAUGACUAAAAUGAAAAUGUAAAUGUAAAAAUAAUUCGAAAGUAUCUAAAGUCGCUUGUCACACUCAACAAAGUCACAUAGAUUAUUUGAACAUGAUGCUUGAAAAAGACAAAUUUCGGUCCCAUGACAGGGUAAGGAAACCAAUAUGUAAUUUUGUGUUUGGGUGAACUAUCGCUUUGGUUAUCAUGCCCCCUUGAAUAAAUGUGAAACAUACACAUAUCAUACAUAUUUGAGGAUUGUACUUAACUAUUCAACACAUUUUGUAUGAAUUCUCUUCUUGUUUUGAGUGUAGGCCUAAGAGGCUGUGUGUGCAUGCACUAUACAGGGAUAAUAGAUCGUGGUGAUGUUGUGUGAAUGUGCUGUAUAUAACAAAAGUUAAUUGUGUACAGUCACUGUGUAUGUACAGGAGGGGAGUUAUGCCUCUGUAAAUUCCUAUGUUUAUAUGAUGGAAAUGUAUACUUUUUUGGAGAUAGGGGUUCCAGAUCCCUUAUGAUAAAACACUUUGAGGAUGCUAGAAAACGUUUGUGAUGCAUUGCCGCAAGGUUUUUUAAUGUUCCUCUCAAACAUUUAUGUAAAAAAAAAAAAAACUGUAAAGAAAAAAAACAAUAAUUUUGUUUAACUGCAACAUGUACAGUAUUUUAUCAGAGGCUGCUGUUGCACAUGCUCAUCUUCAAGACAUUUUUUUUUAUUUAUUGUGACAUGCAAGUCUGGUUUGACAAGCUAACAGUGAUUUUAGCUUUUCUACAUCACGGUUACAUUCCCUGGUUUUCCAGAAAUCCUGGUUGGAAUAUUCCCGUAUUUCCUGCUUUUCCCUCGUAAUGCCAUGAAUCUUCCCAACAGGCUUCCUUGAAAAAAUGUGAAUUUUGGGAAAGCUACUGGAAUUUUGCAACCUUAGUUACAUCACUAUGAGCUUCCUUUGAUAACAGACAGGCAAGUGCCAUGGUACCUUGGAAAUCUCACUGGGUAACUACAGAAGGAAAGUUCAACACAAAAACGUUGAAAAGGAUGACUAAAAUAGCUUCAAAGCCUUGACAUCUAAUUGAAAUACAGCAGAAGUAAAUUCCAAAUGCUCAAAACUGCCCAGCGUUGUUUACAACAGGAAUGGAGGUCAUCAAAUGUUUUGAAAAUACUAAUCCCACAGUAAGAACAAAACAGUUAGUUAUCCAGUAUGUACUUCAGCAAUGUGAACAACAGUAUAGUACAACACCAAUGAGUUAUUCAUCAUGGUCAACAUGUACUCCUAUUAAAAUAAUAAUGUACUCUGUAGUUCUGUACAUGUAGCACAGCUGUAGCUGUAUAAUACGGAAUUCAUGUACUUCUAAAUACUCUAAUCAAGUAGAAAAUAAAUCUGUUGCAACUUGAGAUGCAGUAAAUGCUGUCAAUAUGCAUGAUAGGCCUACAUGUUUUGUCAGGACUGGGAUCUAAAGACUAAAGAUUGUGAUAUCUGUAUAUUGUAGAGUCACAGUAAGUUGUACAUGGAUGGAAUAUCUCAAUAUGCGUAAUGUAUCAUUAUUCAAAGUUAUUUUUCGAAAUAAAGUUGACAUUUUCAAUGACAUGAAAUGCUGUGCUUUUAGUAAUUUUAUACCACUCACCGAGUCCUGCAGGAUAUAAAGCAAAU
rnacentral:lncRNA from 13 species